rnacentral:rRNA from 1 species
AAAGUCGUAACAAGGUUUCCGUAGGUGAACCUGCGGAAGGAUCAUUAUUGAUUGUGAAUCGUUGCCUCCAGUGCUGGCUCUUGCAAGUGCACGGUUGGUGACUUUCAUCCAACACCCUGUGAACCUUUGGCCUCUUGCUAGCUUCGGCUGGCAGAGGAUUUUUACACACACUCGAAUGUAAUGAAAUUAUUGUCGUGCGCAAGCACUUAUGUACAACUUUCAACAACGGAUCUCUUGGCUCUCGCAUCGAUGAAGAACGCAGCGAAAUGCGAUAAGUAAUGUGAAUUGCAGAAUUCAGUGAAUCAUCGAAUCUUUGAACGCACCUUGCACCCUUUGGCAUUCCGAAGGGUAUGCUCGUUUGAGUGUCAUUGUACUCUCACACUUCUGAUCCUUUGGAUUUGGAGCGGUGGACUUGGGUGUUGCCACUUGACGGUGGCUCACCUCUAAUGCAUUAGUGCAACUCCUGGUUGGACCAUAGUACGGCGUGAUAAGUGUCUUCGCCGGCACCUCGUGAGAGGGUGGCCGAUCGAGAGCUCUGUGCUUUCAAACCGUCCUUGCAAGGACAAUGACUGACAACUUGACCUCAAAUCGAGUAGGACUACCCGCUGAACUUAAGCAUAUCAAUAAGCGGAGGAAAAGAAACUAACAAGGAUUC